rnacentral:rRNA from 1 species
CACGGGGGGAGCAAGCGUUGUUCGGAAUCACUGGGCGUAAAGGGCGCGUAGGCGGUACGACAAGUCGGGAGUGAAAGUCCGGGCGUCAACCCACGGGACGCUUUCGAAACUGUCGAACUUGAGUGCAGAAGAGGCAACUGGAAUUCCCAGUGUAGCGGUGAAAUGCGUAGAUAUUGGGAAGAACACCUGAGGCGAAGGCGGGUUGCUGGGCUGACACUGACGCUGAGGCGCGAAAGCCAGGGGAGCGAACGGG